UGAGAUCAAGGGACAGAUAACAUUUUUCUCUUCUUCUUGCUAAAUCAUUCAGUGAUUUGCAGAUAGCAGAGCUCAACAAAUGAUGAUUGAUUGACUGAUUAAAUGAAUGAACAAAUAAAGAUAUGAGUUAAUGAAGCUGAGAGAACAUUAGUUUUUUAUGUUGGGAUGACUACUGAUUGCUGUAUGCCAUGCACUGUGUUCAGUCUUGGGUAUACAAUGGUGAACUUGUGCUUGACACCACAGCACUAAUGGUCUAAUAUUUUAAUAAUGGUUACAAAUGCCUUCUUAGUGUUAUAUUCAGAAAUAUAGACAUUCUACCAUUUUUGAGAAUGUAUGGAAAAAUCUGUGGCUCUUAAAAACGGAACACACAUUGGAGUACAGAAGUGAGCUUUCGAGAAAUAUAGGGAGCAUAAAGAAACCUAUGGGUUCAGCUUAUCAGUGCCUAAAAAUAUUAAAGAUGUUAACCAUAUCAAAACAGCACUGCUAACUUUGGGGAUGUUAGAGAUUCUAUUUCAGCCUAAAAACAAGAUUCCUUUUUGAACUUAUCCAAACCAUUUCUUGCUUGAAAUCCUCAGUUUUAUAAUCAAUUGCUCAUUCCCCUGACAAAUGAGUAUUCUGGGGAUUAAUUAUUUUAAAGCACUUCGCAAAUGAAAGGCCUAUAUAAAUUCUAAGUGGUAUUGUUAUGUUGUGGGUGAUGUGCCAGGGAAAUAUUGACAAAAGCCCUUAUUUGCUAAAGCCUGCAUUGAUGUAUUAAACUCCUGCUAUAGAACAGUGCCUCUGGGAGUCUUAUAUAUUCUUUUCUUUAGAUAUGUGAAUUGGCAAUUAAAAAUAAUUAUAUUGCAUACUCUGUCAUGCCAAUCAAGAAAUCUGCAUUGAACAACACAGGAUGUGGUCUUUGAGUUCCAAUUACCAAACAGUAUACCUUUCUCUUCCCUUUUCAAAGUAUUGCGACUGAACCAGUCUAGCAAUCCAGAAGACGUUUUUAAUUUUUAAAAUUUUUGCUUCAUAGCAUAUUUGCAGAAAAGUGAAUGAAUCAGUCUUGUUUGUGGGCUAUGACUCAAAUCGUGGGAAAUUCUAGCCAAAUAGGUUUUUCUCUUAUUGUUAUUUUUUUAAGCAGACAUACCUAUAUAUUGACCCUAGUACUUUUAUUGUUCUUGACAGCAUGUGCUGGUAGAAGGGAUAGUAAAGGGUGAGCAAUAACCAUGUUGUGCCAAAAAGAAGUCUAGAUAAUGAAACUUGAACAAAGCAAUUUGGAAGAAUUUCGGUUCUCAUUUGGGGGCACUUUGCUGACUACCUGGAUUUUAUUCCUUUUGUAAACUUGCAUGUAAGCCUGUCUUCCCUGGGUUUGGGCUAAAAUGUGUUCAGGAAUAAUGUUAUCAGUGCAAAUGAUAGAAGAGAGUUAGGCUGUAUAAACUAAGUACUCCACAUGUUUUUUUCUGAAAUCUAAAGUUUGGACCUUAAAAGUAUUUUAUUUUUAAAUUUGACUUUAUCAAAUUUGCAGGACAUUUCUUAAGGGAUUAUAAAAGUUUCAUACAGAAUUAUAGAUUACUUAUGUGCAUUAAACUCGAAAAGAGCAAUAUUUCAUUUCCUAUGAAGACCUAAUAAUGUUCUUUACAAAGAAAUAAAGAAUCUGUACAACUAAAGAUGAUAAAUAUUAAUAUCAUGUUUGGGGAUGUUGUAUUUUCCUAUUAAAUUAGGACAAUUUUUGAAGAUUUGGCUUAAAAAUAAAAUGAGGCUGGGCACAGUGUCUCACACAUGUAAUCCCACCCCUUUUAGAGGCCGAGGCAGGGCUAUCACUUGAGCUCAGGAGUUUGAGACCAGCCUGGGUAACAUGGCAAAACCUUGGCUCUACAAAAAAUAUGAAAAUAAGCUGGGCGUGAUGGUGUGCACCUGUGGUCCCAGCUACUGGGAGGGCUGAGGCAGGAGAAUUGCUUGAACCCAGGAGGCGGAGGUUGCGGUGAGCCGAGAUCACAGCAUUGCACUCCAGUUUUGGCAACAAGAGCGAAAUUCCAUCUAAAAAAAAAGAAAGAAAAGAAAAAAAAGUGACAAGAAUUAAUUAAUAUGUCAUAUAUCAUGAAUUACUGAUGGCAGUGAUGAGCCCUGGAUCCUUUUAAAUUAGGAUUUUAAAAGAACUAAAUGCAUGUGUACCGUUACAAAACUAUUUAAAGCAAAGCCAAUUCAGAGAAACAUCUUCAAAUUUGAUUUUCUAUAUUUUUCUUAAUAAAAUACUAAAGCUUAAUUAAUUCUAAGUUAUUCAUAAAACCAUUAUUAACGUGAUGGCAAGGAGACUUGGCAGCCAUUAAGACAUGCCUACAGGUGUUUUACAGCUCUAUGUGUUUUUAUUUUGUUGUCUACGUUUCUUUUUGCUCUCUAAUAAAGAGCAUUUACCCACAGUAAUAGAGUCAAACUCUUGUGCCCACUUCUUCCCCUGGAUUAGACUUCUUUGCUUCAGCUUGAAUUUGGUUACUGGCUGGUACAAAGUGAAAAGAGUGGAGAUUAAAACUGAACCUGAGAAGAAUAUGGAAAAAGUAAUUAUUCAGCUUAAAAAUAGUAAGAACAACAAAAACAAUAGCAGACACUCAUAUAGUGCUUAAGGUGUUGGGCAGUUUUAUGUGCACUGCAUGUAUUAACUCAUUUUAUCCUCAAAACAAGCUUAUGAAGGAGGUACUUUCAUUAUCCCUCUUUUAGGGAUGAGGAAACUAAGGCCUUGUGUGGUUAAUUGACUUGCACAGUGGCAGAAAGCUAGUUAUUGGCAGGGUGGGGAUGUGAAGCUAGGUUUAUCUGGCUGAAAGCAAAUGUUCUUAACCACUGUGCUCUUGCCUACUGUAGGUAUAGCAAGUGCCACUCAGUAAACAUGCUUUCCUUGCUGCACAGAUUAUAAAUAAAACAAACAGGUUAGAAACAUCAAGUUUCCUGAUUCAAUUAAUUCAUCUUCUCACAUCCUUAAUAUUCAAUUAUUAAGAUACUUAUCAGUAUAAAGAAAACAUUAUUGUGAAAUAAAGUGAUAAGAGUUGGAAACCAGAGUUUAAGCCCGUGUUUGCUCCACACUUUCUGUAGAUUAAACAGAUACUGCAUUUCCCUGGGCCUCAGUUUUCUCCCCUCAAAAUGGUAGUUUUAAAGAUUAUUUUCAGCUCCACAAUUUUGUGCAUUAAACUUGAUUUCUGAGAUGAAAAAGGAAUAAGAGAACUAUUUAGAGAUUGUUUUCUACCCUGCUAUUGCCUACCAAAUGUCAAUAAUUUUCUUUUUAUAAAUCUUUUAUAGAAGUUUCUGAUUAUGUAGCAUUUUAAAGGUAUUGUUUAUUACACAUUAUAAAAAAUUUUAUAUAAAGGGAAACCAAGUUUUUUAGCACAUACGAAUUUUAUGAUAUGUAUUGCAUUUGAUGGAAUGAUGUGUAAAUUCAUUUACUUUCCAUGCAAGAGCGAUCUUGUUUUGAUUUCAGACUAAGAGCUGGGAAAAUAAUUUCCAUUUUAUUGUUAAAGACAACAGACAGUAAAAUAAGAUCUGGGUGGCAGGGAAUAACGUCCAUUACCAGGGUGGGUAGAUAACAAAGGGCUGGAUGUGACAAUGUCCAAUUUAUAAAAUUCUGGUUAACAAUAAUUUAAGAGUAGUUCUUUGUGCCAGGAGAAAAAAUAAAAGAAAGAGUCACUUGGAGAAAUGUAAAUGGGAGGAGAUGGUGUUUUUCUAUCAUUGAAUAUAACAAUACACUACAGUGUCUUUGUAAUAAUGAUCUGGAAAUUGGUUUCAGAGGAAAGUAAAUUUUCCUAAAUUUACUGUGUUAUCUGAGCUCCUUGUGAACUAUAUUCCUAGGGUCUAGCAAGGUGCCUUGUACAUAAUAGAAACUCACAUGCUUGUACAAUGAAUUAAUCAUGACUAUAUUCAACAUUUUAAUACAGAUAAGAUAGUGGGAUGCAUAGAGGGGAGGGCAGCAAAGUGAAGAAGGAGGAGUCUUAAAAUUAAGUCUUGUGAGGAAAGAUUAAUAAAAAUCUGGACAUUAGAUGAGACUUUUAGAAAAACUAGAAAGUUGUUUUUAUGUCAUUGAAGAAUUAUGUCAAAAAAUGGCUUUGUUUUAUAUGUCUACCACCAGUAAAAGAUUGGCAGAAUUCCUUCUAUAAGGGAAAAAGGUUUUGGAGGAAAUAAGAGAGAGCAGUCUAAUCUGUACAAAAAUGGCUCUGAGCUAUUUGGAGAGGCAAUGAGAACUUCCUAACAGAAGACCUGCUAGGAGGUAAUAGGUACAGAGUCAGCAGGAGUGUUGUAGAGAAGCUGUCAGCCUUAAAAUAGUAUUGAAUUUAUGGCUUUUUGGCCUUUAAGACCCAUAUAACCAUGAGCCAGGCACUUACAUUUGGGCCCAAUGCUACAGAUAAUGUGUAGUAAGUAAAAAUCUUAACUGAAGAAGCACCAUUGCUCCAAUGAACAAUUGCCAUGUGAGGUCCAUCAAUUAUAGUGCUAAGGUUUAGCAACCAGCAGUGGUGGUGUGAGGGUAAGAAAGACUUCUUUGAAUUGCUGGAUGAUGAGUACCAAGUAUUUCUCUUCUCUCCCUUCUUCAUUGGCUCAGAAAAACAGACUCUGAGACAGAGAUUAGUGCGGAGACUAAUGGGCAGGUGGGGGUUAUUUGAGAAUGAAAGUGAUAUCAGCAUCUUCGAGGCAAAGCCAGGAAAGGGAAGACAAGAAAACAGGAUUUAGCAGGGGGAGUUGUGCGUUAGGAUGAAGCUUUGAUGGGAGGACACAGCCAUUCACUCCUGUAGAGAGUUCUGAAGAGCCGAUGACAAUGUAAGGAUCCUCUGAUUUAGGGUGAACAGGAUUGGCCCCUAUACCUCCAUACCGAUUAGUCAUUGUAAGGCAGCUGUCUUAAGCAGAUCUUGGGGGAGAUGAAAGCAUGAAGAAUUUCUUCCAGCAUUUCUCCCAGCAGCUGUGGAAUAAAUUCAUUCCUGAGGAGGGAUCUGGGUUACACGUGAGAGUACCUAAAACAAUUGUUUUCACGUAACUACAUUUAAGUUGACAAAUAUUAUUCUUUACAGAAUGCAAGUUCCUAAAAUCAUUCUUCUCCAGACAUUCUUAUGUGAUCAAAGAUGUCUAUGCUAUUUAGGUUCAUCCUAAUGUUGAUAUUUAAGACAGCUGUUGGGCUUGGACUAACAAUGCUUAUGAGUUGACAUUUUUAACAACUUUUAACAUGUCAAUUACCAACUCACCUUCUCUAUGCUUAUUUCUGCUUGUGGGUAAUUUGCCUAAUCAUAACAACUGAAACUGUGUGGAACACAGGAAAAUGUGACUGAUCUGGAAGCCGGUUUGUAGUUAGAGCCCUUUUUUCUACUGUAACACACAUAUAGACCUAUUUGGAGUGUCUGAUGAUGGUGACCCGUGUGUCACUUGUCUCUUCUCAUUCCACAUCUUCUGUUAGCAAAAAUAUUUGACAGCACCAUUACCUCCCCCAGGAGAACAUUUGCAAAUAAAAAAGUAAAACACACCAAGAUUCAUGGAAGAAAUGUUACUGUGAUUACUCAGAGAUUCACUGUUAUUAUUUCUAGCUUUGGUUCUGGGUUCUCUCACUUAUUAAAUAUGAAAUAUUGAGAAAAUGUCUUGCCUUUUCUGGCUCUGAAUUUCCUAAGCAGUAAAAUGAGUAUAGCACUGGUCUCACGUGGUUAUUGUGAAGAAUAAACAAAAAUGAAUUAGUAAAUGUAAAACGUGACACACAAUCAUAUAGUUUCUUGGUAAAUGUUACAGUUCUCGUCUCCAUCAAAGGAAAAGCAUCUUCUAGAUUGAGAAAUGACCUAAUUCAGUUUGGCAUUCCAGUAACGAGCAUUAUAAUAUUUGUAAAUUACAUGGACACACAGG